rnacentral:tRNA from 1 species
GCACCCGUAGCUCAGUUGGAUAGAGCAUCUGAUUGCGGUUCAGGAGGCCAGAGGUUCGAAUCCUCUCGGGUGCGCCA